CCGUUUCGGUGGUGCCGGAUCGGAACAAUGAGCAUGCGUGAGACGCGCCAACAGCCGCUACUUUAUUUAUUUUUAUGACCUACGACAUUCGUAGGUGCAUACAUUACCGAUAUUGUCUUCGCUCCUGCUCCAUACUUUACUUCAUCGGCUUUGACCGGGUAGCCCUUUCCGGUGGCCAAGAAUACCUCUUGCGUGCCGCGUGCCCGCUCCCAUUGCCUAUCAGGGACUUAACCUUUGGGUUUGGCCACUGCCAAAGCUCUCUUCUCCGCCUUUCAAUUCCGCUUGCCGUAGGUACCUCAUCAGCGGGUGAUUCCGCCGUAGAUAGUCCUCUCGGAAGGUGCAAGGGAUGUGCGUCUGGCUGGAAUUUGGCAGACCCCGGCUGUGCUGCGGGCCAUAGCUAUGCUGUAUCGCUAAGUCUACAAUGUGGCGUCCAGUCCGCUGCAGGGACAUAAUGUCAGCAGCCCCCUCAUUCAUAUGCGCCGAAUCAAACGCUGGGCUUCAGCUUCGACACACAAGUCUUAUGCACCCUACGCUCCGCUGCCACAAGCUGAGUCCUAUCAGAUUUGUUCACGCCAGACGGAAUCCUAUUUAAGCAUUACCGAGGCGUAUUCGAGGCAGACCGAGUGCUACCCCAGCAAGACAGAAUAGUUUCCCAGAAGGACAGAAGCGCAUCCCUUGCAAUCGCCAUCGACAACUAUCUGAAGGACUUUGGCUAUGGCAAACAAGGGAGUGGCUACGCGGACUA
rnacentral:sRNA from 1 species